rnacentral:tRNA from 1 species
AUUUAAUUAGUAUAUUUAAUACAUUUAAUUUCCAAUUAAAAAAUCCAAUAAAGGAUUAAAUA